rnacentral:ncRNA from 2 species
GGCGCUGCGCGUGGCGCUUUGUUACCGGAUUGCGGGCCACGUUAAACAAGCCGCUAAAGAGGUCGGACGAAAGCCCCU